GAGUUUGAUCGUGGCUCAGAACGAACGCUGGCGGCAUGCCUAACACAUGCAAGUCGAACGCCCCGCAAGGGGAGUGGCGAACGGGUGAGUAACGCGUGGGAACCUACCCAGCAGUUGGGGAUAACCGCGGGAAACUGCGGCUAAUACCGAAUACGUCCUUAGGGAGAAAGAUUUAUCGCUGUUGGAGGGGCCCGCGUCGGAUUAGCUAGUUGGUGAGGUAACGGCUCACCAAGGCGACGAUCCGUAGCUGGUCUGAGAGGAUGAUCAGCCACACUGGGACUUAGACACGGCCCAGACUCCUACGGGAGGCAGCAGUGGGGAAUAUUGGACAAUGGGGGCAACCCUGAUCCAGCAAUGCCGCGUGAGUGAUGAAGGCCUUAGGGUUGUAAAGCUCUUUUACCGGGGACGAUGAUGACGGUACCCGGAGGAUAAGCCCCGGCUAACUUCGUGCCAGCAGCCGCCGCAGUAAC
rnacentral:rRNA from 1 species